GGUCUCAUAGUUCAACUGGAUAGAAUAUCAGAUUUCGACUCUGAUGGUUGGAGGUUCGAACCCUUCUGGGACCA
rnacentral:tRNA from 1 species